rnacentral:rRNA from 1 species
AGUGAACGCUGGCGGUAGGCCUAACACAUGCAAGUCGAACGGCAGCACAGUAAGAGCUUGCUCUUACGGGUGGCGAGUGGCGGACGGGUGAGGAAUACAUCGGAAUCUACUUUUUCGUGGGGGAUAACGUAGGGAAACUUACGCUAAUACCGCAUACGACCUACGGGUGAAAGCAGGGGAUCUUCGGACCUUGCGCGAUUGAAUGAGCCGAUGUCGGAUUAGCUAGUUGGCGGGGUAAAGGCCCACCAAGGCGACGAUCCGUAGCUGGUCUGAGAGGAUGAUCAGCCACACUGGAACUGAGACACGGUCCAGACUCCUACGGGAGGCAGCAGUGGGGAAUAUUGGACAAUGGGCGCAAGCCUGAUCCAACCAUACCGCGUGGGUGAAGAAGGCCUUCGGGUUGUAAAGCACUUUUGUUGGGAAAGAAAAGCAGCAGGUUAAUACCCCGCUGUUCUGACGGUACCCAAAGAAUAAGCACCGGCUAACUUCGUG